GACUGUGGCCAUGAAACCCUGAAUGUGCCCGAUUUCAUCUGGUCUCGGAAGCUAAGCAAGGUUGGGCCUGGUUAGUACUUGGAUGGGAGACCACGCAGGAAGACCAGGUGCUGUAGGCA
rnacentral:rRNA from 1 species